ACCAGGAUGGCCAAGUGGUUAAGGCAUUGGAUUUAAGAUCCAAUGGAUGUAUGUUUACAUGGGUUUGAACCCUACUCCUGGUA
rnacentral:tRNA from 2 species